rnacentral:misc_RNA from 1 species
GAUGAAGAACGUAGCGAAAUGCGAUAAGUAAUGUGAAUUGCAGAAUUCAGUGAAUCAUCGAGUUUUUGAACGCAUAUUGCGCCCUCUGGUAUUCCGGGGGGCAUGCCUGUUCGAGCGUCAUUGCUGCCCUCAAGCACGGCUUGUGUGUUGGGCCUCCGUCCUCCUCCCGGGGGACGGGCCCGAAAGGCAGCGGCGGCACCGCGUCCGGUCCUCGAGCGUAUGGGGCUUCGUCACCCGCUCUUGUAGGCCCGGCCGGCGCUUGCCGACACAUCAAUCUUUUUUCCAGGUUGACCUCGGAUCAGGUAGGGAUACCCGCUGAACUUAAGAAUAUCAAUAAGCGGAGGA